AUGCACAGGAGGUUGUUUGGCAGGGUGUUUUACAUUCCCAAUACUGCAGCUCUUAAAAUUUAUACUAACCAGAUCUCUGUAGUAUAUUAUUAUUUUUGAGGGCUAGAUCUGUUUUGUAUCUCAUGGUCAUUUUGUGCUUAUCAACUAUUCAUGUUAGAAGUUUGUUGUCAGAUGAGAGCUGCAGCAUCUAUCUGCUAACUGACCCAUGAAGAUCUUGAUCCUUUGGCUGCAAUAUGGUCCAGACUUUAUGGUGCCAGUUACACAAGACGAGCAUUGUUUUGUGAGCCAGUCAGCAGAAACUGCUAUUAAAAGAUGCAACUGUGCCAACUAUAUUGGAUCCGCCAGCAAUCCCACGACCUGUCUGCCUAGGCGGUGGAAGGAAAGGCAAGAAGUCUCCUUUUAUUUUCUCUUCCCAUAUUGUUUUUCAGGCUCUAAAUGCAUUUGAUGCUCUUCAAUAUGGUCACCCAAGUAUCUGCAAUAAAAGCAGUACAGUGGCUAAGAAAUAACAGCUUUAGUUUGCAUUACGACCUGUGCACCAGAAUGAUGAAACCUGUUAUUGCAUGUCACGACCUCUGCAGUGCAUAAGGUAAUGGAAGACAGAAUGUUAUUUUUAAGCCACGCAGGCCAAGCGUUUAUGUAGCGUAAUGUAUUCGGUGCAAGAUUUUAGGGAAUGGUGGUUGAAUGAAGGGUUGAAUAGCUAUGAUUGAGUAAACACCAUUUGAUGUGCGGCGUUUGUCAGAUGCCAAGUCAGCAUAAGAAUAGAUGAAUGCUUAUUUCUGCUUCAGAAUGAAAUUUCCAGGUGUCUGAGCAACCUGAAUAAAUGUUCAAGGAACAGUUCACUCAAAAAUGAAAGUUCUGUCAUAUUUACUCACCCUCAUGUUGUUGUAAACCUGAUGUCUUUCUUCUGUGGAACAUGAACAGAGAAAUCUGGUCAUUCUUUUUAAUGCAGUUGGGAGUUUUUAGAUUCAAAAAUUCAAACGCACCAUAAAAGAAUCAUAUAAUAUGAUUCUAUGCCCUAUAUUGCAAGUCUUCUGAGGUCAAACAAUAGUUUUGUGUCAGGAACAGACAUAUUUUAAACUAUUAUUAUUCACAGUGUUUUGUUAGCAGUUUGAACAAGAUCAUUGAGUCAGUUGGUUUUGAACUUGAGAACAGGAUUGGUCCAAUUCAUAAAUGACAGGUUUUCUGAACCACGACAGCCAAGAAGAUUCAGUUCAACAGAAUGAGGC
rnacentral:lncRNA from 12 species